rnacentral:rRNA from 1 species
UACCAGCACCCCGAGUGGUCGGGACGAUUAUUGGGCCUAAAGCAUCCGUAGCCGGUCCUACAAGUCUUCCGUUAAAUCCACCUGCUCAACAGAUGGGCCGCGGAAGAUACUAUAGGGCUAGGAGGCGGGAGAGGCAAGCGGUACUCAGUGGGUAGGGGUAAAAUCCUCUGAUCCAUUGAAGACCACCAGUGGCGAAGGCGGCUUGCCAGAACGCGCUCGACGGUGAGGGAUGAAAGCUGGGGGAGCAAACCGG